UUAGAGAGAGAGAGAUAGGUAGCACGCUACUCGCUUCGUUUAUAUCAGUUAGAAAUAAAUUUAGCUGUAAAUGUUAAUCAACUAUGAUUCGAACUUAGAACCUCGGGUACCAACCACCAAGCCCUUUGGUUCACAUAAUAGUAUCACAAUAGGACUAUAGGAAACCUGAAUUCGAGUCUGACCAAAAUGCUAACAUUCAUAUGC
rnacentral:lncRNA from 1 species